UUACCGGCGGCGGCUUACCAUGCAAGUCGAGCGGUAACAUUUCUAGCUUGCUAGAAGAUGACGAGCGGCGGACGGGUGAGUAAUACUUAGGAAUCUACCUAGUAGUGGGGGAUAGCUCGGGGAAACUCGAAUUAAUACCGCAUACGACCUACGGGAGAAAGGGGGCAACUUGUUGCUCUCGCUAUUAGAUGAGCCUAAGUCGGAUUAGCUAGAUGGUGGGGUAAAGGCCUACCAUGGCGACGAUCUGUAGCUGGUCUGAGAGGAUGAUCAGCCACACCGGGACUGAGACACGGCCCGGACUCCUACGGGAGGCAGCAGUGGGGAAUAUUGGACAAUGGGGGAAACCCUGAUCCAGCCAUGCCGCGUGUGUGAAGAAGGCCUUUUGGUUGUAAAGCACUUUAAGCAGUGAAGAAGACUCUUCGGUUAAUACCCGGAGACGAUGACAUUAGCUGCAGAAUAAGCACCGGCUAACUCUGUGCCAGCAGCCGCGGUAAU
rnacentral:rRNA from 1 species